UACAGAGGUCCCGAGCGUUGUUCGGAUUCACUGGGCGUAAAGGGUGCGUAGGUGGUGAGGUAAGUCGGAUGUGAAAUCUCCGAGCUCAACUCGGAAAUGGCAUUGGAAACUACCUUGCUAGAGGGUUGGAGGGGGGACUGGAAUACUUGGUGUAGCAGUGAAAUGCGUAGAUAUCAAGUGGAACACCAGUGGCGAAGGCGAGUCCCUGGACAACUCCUGACACUGAGGCACGAAAGCUAGGGGGAGCAAACAGG
rnacentral:rRNA from 1 species